CACGAACGCUGGCGGCAGGCUUAACACAUGCAAGUCGAACGGUGAAAGGGAGCUUGCUCCCUGGAUCAGUGGCGAACGGGUGAGUAACACGUGGGCAACCUGCCCCAGACUUCGGGAUAACGCUUCGAAAGGAGUGCUAAUACCGGAUACGAACUCCUUGGGCAUCCUUGGGGUUGGAAAGUUUUUCGGUCUGGGAUGGGCCCGCGGCCUAUCAGCUUGUUGGUGAGGUAACGGCUCACCAAGGCGACGACGGGUAGCCGGCCUGAGAGGGCGACCGGCCACACUGGUGCUGAGAAACGGCCCAGACUCCUACGGGAGGCAGCAGUGGGGAAUAUUGCGCAAUGGGCGAAAGCCUGACGCAGCAACGCCGCGUGAGGGAUGACGGCCUUCGGGUUGUAAACCUCUUUCAGCAGGGAAGAAGCGAAAGUGACAGUACCUGCAGAAGAAGCACCGGCUAACUACGUGCCAGCAGCCGCCGUAACAC
rnacentral:rRNA from 1 species